rnacentral:rRNA from 1 species
AUUGAACGCUGGCGGCAGGCCUAACACAUGCAAGUCGAACGGUAACAGGAAGAAGCUUGCUUCUUUGCUGACGAGUGGCGGACGGGUGAGUUAUGUCUGGGAAACUGCCUGAUGGAGGGGGUUAACUACCGGAAACGGUUGCUACUACCGCAUAACGUCGCAAGACCAAAAAGGGGGACAUCCCGGGCUCUUGCCAUCGGCUGUGCCCAGGUGGGAUUAGCUAGUUGGUGGGGUAACGGCUCACCUAGGCGACGAUCCGUAGCUGGUCUGAGAGGAUGAACAGCCACACUGGAACUGAGACACGGUCCAGACUCCUACGGGAGGCAGCAGUGGGGAAUAUUGCACAAUGGGCGCAAGCCUGAUGCAGCCAUGCCGCGUGUAUGAAGAAGGCCUUCGGGUUGUAAAGUACUUUCAGCGGGGAGGAAGGGAGUAAAGUUAAUACCUUGGCGCACUGACGUUACCCGCAGAAGAAGCACCGGCUAACUCCGUG